AAAUUGAAGAGUUUGAUCAUGGCUCAGAUUGAACGCUGGCGGCAGGCCUAACACAUGCAAGUCGAGCGGUAGCACAGAGAGCUUGCUCUCGGGUGACGAGCGGCGGACGGGUGAGUAAUGUCUGGGAAACUGCCUGAUGGAGGGGGAUAACUACUGGAAACGGUAGCUAAUACCGCAUAACGUCGCAAGACCAAAGUGGGGGACCUUCGGGCCUCAUGCCAUCAGAUGUGCCCAGAUGGGAUUAGCUAGUAGGUGGGGUAACGGCUCACCUAGGCGACGAUCCCUAGCUGGUCUGAGAGGAUGACCAGCCACACUGGAACUGAGACACGGUCCAGACUCCUACGGGAGGCAGCAGUGGGGAAUAUUGCACAAUGGGCGCAAGCCUGAUGCAGCCAUGCCGCGUGUGUGAAGAAGGCCUUCGGGUUGUAAAGCACUUUCAGCGGGGAGGAAGGCGUUAAGGUUAAUAACCUUGGCGAUUGACGUUACCCGCAGAAGAAGCACCGGCUAACUCCGUGCCAGCAGCCGCGGUAAUACGGAGGGUGCAAGCGUUAAUCGGAAUUACUGGGCGUAAAGCGCAC
rnacentral:rRNA from 1 species